rnacentral:lncRNA from 1 species
UUUUUUUUUUUUUUCUGUUGAGACAGGGUCUUGCUCUGUUGCCCAGGCUGGAGUGCAGUGGCAUGAACAUGACUCACUGUAGCCUUGAUAUCCUAGGCUUCAACAAUCCUCUCAUGUCAGCCUCCUGAGUAGCUAGGACCACAAGCACGCACCACCACACUCUACUAUUUUUAAACAUUUUUGCAGAGAUGAUGUCUCACACUGUUGCCCAGGAUGGUCUCAAACUCCUGCGCUCAAGCCAUCCUCCUGCCUUAGCCUCCCACGGUGCUGGGAUCACAGGUAUGAGCCUCCACACCAAGCCUGUUUUUCUGUCUUCUUAGAAGAACAUCAGUCAUUGGAUUAGGAAGCACCCUUAUCUAGGAGGACCUUAUGCUAACAUGAUUAUACCUGUGGAGCUCCUGUUUUGAAAUAAGGUCACAUUCUGAGGUUCUGGGUCUUUUGAGGGACUCACUUUUCUACUCAGUAUACACAGUGAUAGUUGCAUAGAUGGAGCAUAAAGCAAAAAUCAUGCGUGGUCAAAAUGAGCCUCGAAAACCGCUUGAAAAGGAGACAAAAGGGCUUGUUGUGCAGCUCUUUCUCUAUGAGGGAAGAAAUGCUUUCUCAGAGACCCUGGCGGACUCUCCCUACUCGUCAUUGGUCAGAACUGUGUCACAUGUUUCCUCUGGAUGAGUCAUUGGCCAAAGGAAUGAGACAGCCUUGCUCGGCUUGGUCCAAUCAUGAUUCAUUGCCUGGGACUGGGAACAUCGUCACCUGUAACAAAAUCAAUGCAAGCAAAGAGCCGUAAAUGAACUGAUUCUGCUGGGUAGACGGUUUGCCAAAAUGGCCUCAAUUCUCCCCCUUUCUGUAUCCACGCUCCUUGUAAUUUGACUUUGCAGCUCCUUCAUAAACACGUGGAGCCUAUUUCAAAACUAUGCACCUCUUAAAUGUGAGGCAUCCCUACAGCAGGAUAUUACACAUAGCCCUUAAAAGAAGGAAGCGUUGAUCCACACCACAGUAUGGAUGCAUCUUGAGAACAUCAUGCUAAGAGUGAAGAAAGCCAGAUACAAAGGGCCUCCUAUUCUA